rnacentral:rRNA from 1 species
UGACCUCAAAUCAGGUAGGACUACCCGCUGAACUUAAGCAUAUCAAUAAGCGGAGGAAAAGAAACUAACAAGGAUUCCCCUAGUAACUGCGAGUGAAGCGGGAAAAGCUCAAAUUUAAAAUCUGGCAGUCUUUUGGCUGUCCGAGUUGUAAUCUAGAGAAGUGUUAUCCGCGCUGGACCGUGUACAAGUCUCCUGGAAUGGAGCAUCAUAGAGGGUGAGAAUCCCGUCUUUGACAUGGACUACCAGGGCUUUGUGAUGCGCUCUCAAAGAGUCGAGUUGUUUGGGAAUGCAGCUCAAAAUGGGUGGUAAAUUCCAUCUAAAGCUAAAUAUUGGCGAGAGACCGAUAGCGAACAAGUACCGUGAGGGAAAGAUGAAAAGAACUUUGGAAAGAGAGUUAAACAGUACGUGAAAUUGCUGAAAGGGAAACGCUUGAAGUCAGUCGCGUCGUCCAGGGAUCAACCUUGCUUUUGCUUGGUGCACUUUCUGGUUUGACGGGUCAGCAUCAAUUUUGACUAUUGGAAAAAGUCUAAGGGAAUGUGGCAUCCUUGGAUGUGUUAUAGCCCUUGGUCACAUACAAUGGUUGGGAUUGAGGAACUCAGCACGCCGCAAGGCCGGGUUUUAAACCACGUACGUGCUUAGGAUG